rnacentral:rRNA from 1 species
GACGUAGGGCGCGAGCGUUGUCCGGAUUUAUUGGGCGUAAAGAGCUCGUAGGCGGCUUGUCGCGUCGACUGUGAAAACCCGUGGCUCAACCAUGUGGUCUGCAGUCGAUACGGGCAGGCUAGAAUUCGGUAGGGGAGACUGGAAUUCCUGGCGUAGCGGUGAAAUGCGCAGAUAUCAGGAGGAACACCCGUGGCGAAGGCGGCUCUCUGGGACGGUACUGACGCUGAGACGCGAAAGCGUGGGGAGCGAACAGG